GCUCACAUACUUUUACUCCACAAUAUUAUACUAGUUUGCAGAUAGAUUUAUUUACUUUUUAAAAUUUAUUUAUUUUGGUGCCGAGGAUCGAACUCGAGUUCUUGAGCUGGCGAGGCAGGCAGUGAAGCCACUGAGCUAUAUCUCCGGCCCUGAGAAUGGAUUUAAAUGCCUCAGUAAGUCCUUUCCCAGUGUUCAGUGUCAUGCCGAUUCUGUCCAAAAUGGACAGGGCCCUUUAAAUUAUCUCCUCCUUUCACCUCCUCUGUUUGAACAAAAAUCACACAUCCCUCUGUGACGACAGAUGCACUAGGUGAAGCUCAAAUAUGAGUCACUCUCUCAGAUCAUCGCUGCUAGCUGAGAAGCACUGAAGCCUCUCGGGUGACAGGAGCAUCUGCGCAGGAAGACUCGUCCGAUACUGCAGCCCACGCGUGGGGCUCAGCACUGUCACCGGGACCGGACACCGGUGACGGCAGAAACCACACAGGGACGCAGGCAUUGUGUCGCCAGGUGGACCCACAGCUGGAGCUCCAGAAUCAUAUCUACAAAUUUCUCAGAGAUGGAUGAAAGAUAUCCAGCAUAUGCAGAAGUGAAGAAAUGUCUUCCUUCCAAGAAGCACAAGCAAAUGAAUAGUGAGUGUUUUUCCUCCCUGACUCCUACUGAAUCCUGAUUAUUUUCUGUUCUCUAUGAAACAAAUUCUCAAAAGAAUUUCAUGAUAAUUUAGUAUGACUUGUGCCUACCUCAUUUCUAAGACUCUGUGAUCUAAAAGAUUUCUAUGACAGACUUUACAGAGAAACAAGAAAAUAUUUGCGUUGAUCUCCUUUAUUUGAAGGAAACCCUGUUGUGUUAGAACUCUUUACACAUAUCCAAAGCCCACAUGCUUUCAGAGAAAUAAUGAAUAUGAAGCGCUAUCCUCACCUUUGUUUACAUCUCCAG
rnacentral:lncRNA from 1 species